rnacentral:rRNA from 1 species
AGAGUUUGAUUAUGGCUCAGGAUGAACGCUAGCGAUAGGCCUAACACAUGCAAGUCGAGGGGCAGCACAUGAAGUAGCAAUACGGAUGGUGGCGACCGGCGCACGGGUGAGUAACGCGUAUGCAACCUGCCUACAACAGGGGAAUAACCCGUUGAAAGACGGACUAAUACCCCAUAACACAGGGAUCCCGCAUGGGAAUAUUUGUUAAAGAUUUAUCGGUUGUAGAUGGGCAUGCGUUCCAUUAGCUUGUUGGUGAGGUAACGGCUCACCAAGGCAACGAUGGAUAGGGGAACUGAGAGGUUUAUCCCCACACUGGUACUGAGACACGGACCAGACUCCUACGGGAGGCAGCAGUGAGGAAUAUUGGUCAAUGGACGCAAGUCUGAACCAGCCACGUCGCGUGAAGGAAGACGGCCCUACGGGUUGUAAACUUCUUUUGUAAGGGAAUAAAGUGCAGUACGUGUACUGUUUUGCAUGUACCUUACGAAUAAGGAUCGGCUAACUCCGUGCCAGCAGCCGCGGUAAUACGGAGGAUCCGAGCGUUAUCCGGAUUUAUUGGGUUUAAAGGGUGCGCAGGCGGGAGAUUAAGUCGGCGGUGAAAUUUUGCAGCUCAACUGUAAAAGUGCCUUCGAAACUGGUUUCCUUGAGUGUGGAUGAAGUAGGCGGAAUUUGUGGUGUAGCGGUGAAAUGCAUAGAUAUCACGAGGAACUCCGAUUGCGCAGGCAGCUUACUAAACCAUAACUGACGCUCAGGCACGAAGGCGUGGGGAUCAAACAGGAUUAGAUACCCUGGUAGUC